GACGAACGCUGGCGGCGUGCUUAACACAUGCAAGUCGAACGGAAAGGCCCUGCUUUUGUGGGGUGCUCGAGUGGCGAACGGGUGAGUAACACGUGAGUAACCUGCCCUUGACUUUGGGAUAACUUCAGGAAACUGGGGCUAAUACCGGAUAGGAGCUCCUGCUGCAUGGUGGGGGUUGGAAAGUUUCGGCGGUUGGGGAUGGACUCGCGGCUUAUCAGCUUGUUGGUGGGGUAGUGGCUUACCAAGGCUUUGACGGGUAGCUGGCCUGAGAGGGUGACCGGCCACAUUGGGACUGAGAUACGGCCCAGACUCCUACGGGAGGCAGCAGCGGGGAAUAUUGCACAAUGGGCGGAAGCCUGAUGCAGCAACGCCGCGUGCGGGAUGACGGCCUUCGGGUUGUAAACCGCUUUCGCCUGUGACGAAGCGUGAGUGACGGUAAUGGGUAAAGAAGCACCGGCUAACUACGUG
rnacentral:rRNA from 1 species